rnacentral:rRNA from 1 species
CAGUAGCCGCGGUAACACGAAGGGGGCUAGCGUUGCUCGGAAUGACUGGGCGUAAAGGGCGCGUAGGCGGAUUGUUCAGUUAGGCGUGAAAUUCCUGGGCUUAACCUGGGGACUGCGCUUAAUACAGGCAGUCUAGAGUGAGGAAGAGGGUUGUGGAAUUCCCAGUGUAGAGGUGAAAUUCGUAGAUAUUGGGAAGAACACCGGUGGCGAAGGCGGCAACCUGGUCCUUGACUGACGCUGAGACGCGAAAGCGUGGGGAGCAAACAGGAUUUGAGACCCCUGUAGUCCCUGUCUCUUAUAC